GUGGGGAAUCUUAGACAAUGGGGGAAACCCUGAUCUAGCCAUGCCGCGUGAGCGAUGAAGGCCUUAGGGUUGUAAAGCUCUUUCAGCUGGGAAGAUAAUGACGGUACCAGCAGAAGAAGCCCCGGCUAACUCCGUGCCAGCAGCCGCGGUAAUACGGAGGGGGCUAGCGUUGUUCGGAAUUACUGGGCGUAAAGCGCGCGUAGGCGGACCAGAAAGUUGGAGGUGAAAUCCCAGGGCUCAACCUUGGAACUGCCUUCAAAACUCCUGGUCUGGAGUUCGAGAGAGGUGAGUGGAAUUCCGAGUGUAGAGGUGAAAUUCGUAGAUAUUCGGAGGAACACCAGUGGCGAAGGCGGCUCACUGGCUCGAUACUGACGCUGAGGUGCGAAAGCGUGGGGAGCAAACAGGAUUAGAUACCCCGGUAGUCC
rnacentral:rRNA from 1 species